UCUCUACUAAAACCCUAAGUCCUCCUUUUGUUUUUCGCCAAAAGCACUUCACAGCCGCCUCAACCGCAAGCUUUGGAAUUUUUCCCCGUUUCAAGCCUUUGCAUUUUCCCCAACGGGCAACCUUCUCAUUUUUCCCCAGCGAACUUCACUUCCGUGCCUCUCUACACUCUAGUGUCGCCGGUAGAAUCGACCUUUGAUAGGUCAUUCUCUUUGGGGUUUCCUGGGCACGGGAAGAAGAGGCAACAUGAGUAAUUUCUGCAAUUUCUUCUGCAAGCCCAAAGACACAGAAUAUCCGCAAGAGAAAAAAAAAGUUGACUCCAACGAGGAAGUCUCCAUUGAUGAUAUUUGUCUUCCGAUCUAGAGACGAAGAAGUUCGCUGACUUCUCUUCUUCUUGCUCCGAGGUUGUCUCCCUAUUCCAGUUCGAUUCGUCCAUGGAGAUUCAGGUCAAGCAUGACAGUUGCACCAUGGCUGCACUCGAGAUGAAGACCGAGUUCUCCAAGGAUGCCUGCACCAUCAGCGAGUGGGUGCUGAAGAGGGCAGAGGAGGCUCUCAAGGGCAAAUAAGUCUAGAAGAGGGGCAAUGAUAAGAUAUACAAAGGGAUCCACAGAAACUGGACGAACUGGAGGUGACGUGCCAUAGUUAUUCUCAGAGGAUAUAUUGUACAAAUGCACUUAUGUCAACUUCCAGUAUUACAUAGUUAUGACGGAUUAAGCUGCACAAUUAUCAGGUAAUCUAAAAUAAAAUGGUGGUUUUGAAUGUGGAUAUUGUGUAAUGCGGUAUAUGAAAGAGAUAGUCUUAGAUGAAGAUUCACAAUGGGAGAGGAAGUUUGCAGGAUCAAGAAACAAAUAAUAUUACAAUCAAUUUCAGUAUGAUGAAGUCAGAAGUAAAUGAAGCGAAUUCGUCUGGUUCUAUGUGGGUGUCUAAGUGUAAGCUAUUAUAUAAAUUUUGGAUUGUAACUAGAGAUUUAUGGAUACAAAAGCUUUUGGACGAAGUUAGUGAAAUUUGUCUUUUGUGAAUAUACUUUUGGAUUAUAUUUAGAGAUUUGUUGAUAUAAAAUGUUUUGGGUGAA